rnacentral:tRNA from 3 species
GCCUGAGUGGUGAAAUAGGUAGACACAAGGGAUUUAAAAUCCCUCGGCGGGUGACUGCCGUGCCGGUUCGACUCCGGCCUCAGGCACCA